UAGGGAAUCUUCCGCAAUGGACGCAAGUCUGACGGAGCAACGCCGCGUGAGUGAAGAAGGUUUUCGGAUCGUAAAGCUCUGUUGUUAAGGAAGAACGAGUGUGAGAAUGGAAAGUUCAUGCUGUGACGGUACUUAACCAGAAAGGGACGGCUAACUACGUGCCAGCAGCCGCGGUAAUACGUAGGUCCCGAGCGUUGUCCGGAUUUAUUGGGCGUAAAGCGAGCGCAGGCGGUUAGAAAAGUCUGAAGUGAAAGGCAGUGGCUCAACCAUUGUAGGCUUUGGAAACUGUUUAACUUGAGUGCAGAAGGGGAGAGUGGAAUUCCAGGUGUAGCGGUGAAAUGCGUAGAUAUAUGGAGGAACACCGGUGGCGAAAGCGGCUCUCUGGUCUGUAACUGACGCUGAGGCUCGAAAGCGUGGGGAGCGAACAGG
rnacentral:rRNA from 1 species